rnacentral:lncRNA from 1 species
GUAAACAACCACGUUAUACAACCAUACAAAUUCUAUACCAUAUAUAGUGUAUUCUUCACAUUAUCACAGCAUUUAAAGAAAAAGAAAAAUAAUAAUAACACUGGUUUUUCUCAAAUCCAACAACAUAGAUUCAAACAAGUGAGUGAAUGAAGCAUUAUACAAAUAUCUCUGUGCAAAGGUAGGAAGAGAGUAAAAGCUCUUGUGUGCGUUGCUUAUUCAUUUCAUUCACUCUUUUUUUCCAUCAUCUAAAACACUUUAUCAAGUUAUUUUACCUAGCGAGAGGUAUGAGUUGGGCGCUGAAAUCCAGAUUGACCGGUUCAAUUGACUCUGCACUACUGUUAGGUUUUGUUCGAGCUAAUUCAGUUGCUAAGGUCUCCUUUAGUUCAAACACUACCACACUCAUAAUUGGUCUUUGGUUGGGACGUAGAGAAACACAAGCCAUUGCUAUUUCCACGGCUUUCCAGGCUGAGUUAAUGUCAAAAUCUCCUUCUAACCUUGAGUCAACAAUGGCCUUGAUAUCCCCUAUUGCAACCAGGGAUCUAACCCAUUCAAUUAUGUUACUCCUUUCUUCGUUCCUUGCUAUUACUUGCUGGCCUGUGAUUAUUUCCAGAAGAACCACUCCAAAGCUAUAAACAUCACUUUUUUCUGUUAAUCUAUUGUUUGUGUAAUAGCUGCAAUGAAUGCAAGACAUAUCAUGAAACUCAAUAUAUUUUCUGCCAGUGUAUGUGGUGAUAUCUCAAAAUCUCAGAAAUUAAUGGAUGGACAGUAAUUCAAGUUCUUACUCAGGGUCCAGGUAACCAGGAGUUCCAGCGACAACCGUUGACAAAUGUGAUGCCCCAUCAUCUGGGAUAAUUUUGGAUAGACCAAAAUCAGAUAACUUCGCUUGGAAGUGUUCAUUCAACAAGAUGUUUGAAGAUNNNNNNNNNNNNNNNNNNNNNNNNNNNNNNNNNNNNNNNNNNNNNNNNNNNNNNNNNNNNNNNNNNNNNNNNNNNNNNNNNNNNNNNNNNNNNNNNNNNNAUACUCCAAUCCUAUAUUAGAUUUAUGGAAAAUACAUUAACAAAACUGUCAAAACGCAUAAUCUGAAGUUGCUUUUCUUACCCAAGGCUGCGUCCACUGCUAUACGCAGUCUGUCUUCCCAGCUCAAGAAUUUUGAUUUACUGUGUGUACCUGCAAGAACAAACUCAGUAACUUUCAUACAAUUUGUACAGUUGAGCAAUAUGAAAAUUUCCAUAUCCAGAAUUUUGGAAUACAAAACUAACUAGGAAAUUGAUUUGCACAAACUUUUAACAAGACCUUCAUUUUAUUUGGGAACUAACCAGAGAGAUGUUCCAGUAAGUUUCCAUUGGCCAUGUACUCAUAUAUGAGACUCUUAUUGCUUCCUUCAUCACAAUAACCGAUAAGGGAAGUCAGAUUUUUAUGAUGAACUCUCAGUAGAAGUGUAACCUGAAAAAUCAAACCACUACCAUGUUUAGCCAUAUAUACUCAUUACUCAGCUCAAAAACCAAGUGCAAAGCGAUUAAAACUUACCUCUGCUUGAAAUUGUUCAUAACCACGGAAUGAUGAAGGGGAAAGAAUUUUGACAGCAACUGGAGUGUCAUAAAUAUAGCCCAGAUAAACUGUUCCAAAUCCUCCCCUACCAACAAUUGUAUUGAAAUUGUUGGUAAUUUUACAGAUGUCGGAGUGUGAACAUAUUUGUUUUUUAGACUGCUUUAAUGAAUCCUCUUGUUUUGUGUGCUGCUCGGAUAUCUCACUUUGAUCCUUUUCUACCAUGGAAGCUGUUAGAUAUUGUACAAUAGUUUGGAAAUGUCAGUUAAGAUUGAAUUUGUUUGGCAAAUUAUAAAAAAAUUAUGAAUGAUUUCAUCAUUGUAGCUUCACCUUUUGAUUUUCUCCUCCUAAGGAUCCACAAUAUAGCUGUCACGGUCCCCAGAAGGAUCAAACCCCCGCAGAUUGAUGCUACCAAGGGUAUAACAAUGUUAUUUCUGUGCUUUCUGUGCUCGAUGCAUUGACCAUGUUCACAGAUAUGUGGAUUUUGACCCAAACUGCAUGGAAAUCACAGAAGAUUUAUGUUCAAAAGUUUAAGCAACCUUGCAAGUAGAGUGAAAAUUAAUCAUGUCAACACUGGCUCUGAUAAAUCUGAGUUUGAUCACCCUUAAAAACAUAAUAUCUAAUUUUAAUCUAUGACUUGUUUUCAUAAAAAAGUUUGGUUUGGUCAAUAAGUACAUUUAAAAGUUUAUUUUAUUUUAUUUUAUCAACAAAAAAUGAAUGAAUAAAUAAGAGAUAUUUCAAGGAUACAUCAAUCCUUAUACAAAAGACCUACCUGAUGCUGAUAUCCUCUAUGCACCUUACAACAAUUGAAUAACCUAAAUGCAAACACCUUUUACUGAUGAUAAAUAUCUCCUAGAAAAGUUUAUUUCAUUUAAGACUUCCAAAAGAUUAAGUUAAAUACAAAUGAAUAAUCUCUCUUUCAAACACGUAUCGUCGUUACUUUAAGCAACCUUGUUAUGAAUUUGAGUAGUUUGAGUAAGAUUCAUAUACCUUAGGGUGAGAGAACCUUCCUUAGAUUUUUCAACAAGUGCCGAGGGAAUUGAACCGGAGAGGUUAUUCUUCUCCAAGUUUCUGCCAAAAAACGAAGAAAUAAUCCUUUAGUCUUUUCUGGUGCAGUGGAUAACAUAGUUUCAAGUAAUUGAGCAAGUGACUUACAAGAUCUUCAAGUGUUGUAAUUGAGACAGAAAAUCGGGAACCUCAUCGUUUAAGCUAUUAUUCGAUAAAUCCCUACAAAUUUAACAAACAAUUUAGCCUUUUUAAGUAUGUUUAAAUCUUGACUCAUGUGGCGAAAGAUAUUAAGUACAUACGAAAGAACAAAUUUCACUCAUUUGUUUUGCGAAUGCAGAGUUGCUUGGUUAAUUUGGAAUCUUUGUUAUGAUUGGUUAGGAGUAAGAUCUGUCGAUUUUAUGGAUCCUAGGUCUCAUUUUGAACAUUUCAAGAUUUUGGAUGCACCCACUUCAGUUAAUCUUAUUAUGGGUAAUGUGUGGAUAGCAUUGAUUAGUGAAAUUUGGAGGCAUAGGAACAACUGUUUAUUUAAAGGUAGAGUGGUUGACCACAUUGAGGUGUUCUCUUUGGCACAAAUUAAGGUUUGGUCCUGGAUCCCUUCAAAGGUACCGUCAGCUAAUUUCUCAUUCUCUGAUUGGUGUCUUGAACCUUUGGUUUGUAUGCAUUCAAUUUAGUUUUGAUAUGAGGAUUGAUCUUUGUUAUUCUUUGUUAUUUUGAUAGAGAUGGGUUUGACUGUAGGAGGUUUUGUUGGCUGAUUUGUAGUUAGAAAGGUAAUUUGUGAACAUCAUUUUACUGUAUAAGGGUUGGAUCACCCCUGAAGUGAUUCCUUUUAAUUUCAUUGCUAUUUGCUGAUAAAAAAAAACAUACGAAAGAACAAAAAGAAUUAAAACAAGAGAUUUGUCUGGUCUCAUGUAUUUCUGGAUGGGAUGAAAUAAAAGAAAAAACAAAAAAACUCACAGCUUCUCCAACAUGGUGAGCUUUGAGAUUGAAGGGUCUAUCUUUCCUGACAAUCCACUCGAAGAUAAAUUCCUGUUUUGCUCAAUCAAUAGUUAUAGUUAUGUCCGAUAUCAUCUCAGUUUUAUAAAGCAAUAAUAGAAAUUUGGGCUACAAAACUUACAAAGUUGUGAUUCUUGGGACCUCAUCGUCGCCAUAAGUACAGUUCAAACCAUCCCACAAGUAGGCUGCAGGGGCGCAUGGAUCACCUUGCCAAUCUCUUUUCACUCCAUAAACGGACUUGAUGCUUGUAAUGGCAUCAACUUUUUUUCAAAUGCAAAAGAGGAAAAGAAGGUAGUUAAGUUCGUGUACAAUAGUGAAAACCCAGUAAAUGGAUUUAAUAAAUAUAAGAUACCAUCUCCUUGGAAUGUUUCUGGUUUCUGUAAGUCGAUUACUGUGUAAACUUCAAGGGCACUGAUGAUGGGAGGCAGGGUUGAAUUUCCGGUCCUCACGAAUUCAAUUUCUUUCUCACUGAUGGCUGAAGAGGUAUAUAAAGUGUCAACAGCCAGGUAUCGCGGAGAAAAAUUUGGAAUCCAUAGUUCACCGUUCCUCAUGAUGUUGAAUUGUCUUGUCUGAUUGGUGGUUAACACUUGAAUCUCUGUGAAGUGCAUGUAAACAUAGAAUUCAUCAGUUUCAUGAUUUUGCCCCCAGCUUAUAGACAACGGAUCACUAGCAUUUGUUGGUGUAACUGCGGUCCUCAUGAUAGUAGCUCGGAGUUGGUAAUCGCCCUUAUCUAAAGAAUCAUCAGAAAUUGAACCACUUAGGUUUGUCCAAUCUUCGAAGGGUUCAAGGAUGUACCACAAACGAUCAUAAACAUCAGUCGGAUACCUGUGAGAAAAUCAGAAUAAAUCCAAUAAUCAAUCAAUCAAUCUUAUAAGGCAACAGAUUUGAUCCAUAAGUAUGAUUUCACCUGUAGAUUAUGUCUGAACCAAAAUCGUUACGCAGGUAAAGUUUCAGUGAUCCAUAUUGAGUGACGUAUGUAUGAUUUUUCAAAGUCCUGAAUUCUAUGGUUGUUAUAAAUGGUGUGCCAUGGCCUGUGUCAACCAGACAGAUUUGUACAUAAUCCAGUGAAGGUACGUGUAUGAUCUCCUCUAAUUGGGGAUUGGAUGCAUUGUUUAUAUUAACUGUAGCCCACUUGUUAGCUCCCAGAAGAAGAUCAAAAUGUGGUAGCAUAUUUCGGCCAUCAUAAUUUCCAUACAGAAAAGUAGUGCGGAUGAGAUACUUAGAGCCUCUUGUGACGUUUAUUUUGUAGCAGUUCCUUUUUCCUUCCGGGAAGCUUCUCAGCCUCCUCAGUAGUUGUAUAGUGCUGAUCUCAGAUGAUAUUGUCUCUCUCACACCACUAUUUAUGAUAUUUGCAUCCGAAACAUAAUUUAUGUGUGUUGAUGUGUCGGUAUAGUUCACACCUCCGCAAUCUAUGCUGAUGAAUCCUAAAACAUAAAAUUGAAUAUAUUACUGUUAAAGUUGCUACAAAGAGAAAGUGAGUGAAGUCUUUCUUUGCUUGAAGGGAUAAAAGGUCACUAAACCAACAUGAGUUUACUUAAGUAAUGUGCACCUCAUGAUACUUUGGACUAGUCCGACUAGUAAAUAUGGAGAUUUACAAAAUUUAUUUUUUUUUAUUUUUUUUAAUUAAACAAAUUUUAUUUUUAUUCUUUUUCUCUUUUUGUCUGUCUUCUUUUCUAUUAUUUUAGCACAGAAAAUAAUGAUAAAUGGUUGGUGUUUUGGUGUAACGAACCUGGUUGAGCAUGAGCAUGAAAAAGUAGAACAGCUAAAAGAGCAACGUAGAAAGGGAUCCACAUUGACUUAGACGACCUAGUCAACCUGUGAGCUUUUGAGGAAUUACAAACACUUUUUAGCUUUAAUUUCUCUAUACGUGUUUAAUUCUGCAAUCUGCAUCAUACAAAUAAUACUACUUAAUUCACCCAUCAAUCAACCUAAAUUCAAAUAAAAUCUGUAAUUUAAUUUUUUUAAAAACAGUUAGCAUAAAAGACUGAAUAUUAUCACAAAAACUGCAAGAUUGCUAUAUGCUACAAAAAAGAGAAAAAUAUGCAUACAAAAAAUAGCAGCAUCACUGAGGAAUAAUCUUUUUAAUUGGUUAAUGACCAUGUAUAAAAAUUAGUAUAUAUAUCCAACUAUAUUAACAUACUGAUCACUGUAAACCAGAAGAAGUAGUGAAUCUUAUUCUCUACUUGUAAUUUUUUGGUCUCAUGUUACUAUUGCAUAUGUGAAACUUAGGUGAUAAAUCAUGUUACCUUUGUCAAACUCACACGUACUUUCAGUUUAAUAACAGUAAUUUGAAGAUUAUGAGUAUACCAUAUAAAAAUAUAUUAGAAAAGAAACAUAAAAGAGAGGAGACCAACAAAUGCAUGCAUUUAAGAAAAAGAAAACAAUAUCCUAGUUACCACUGCAGAAACAUAUAUAUAUAUAUAUAUAUAUGUAUAUAUCGGAAGUUAUGAAUCAACAUAAGGCACAAAUAGAAAGACACCGUGUAAUUGCUUGGGAAGGUGUUUCUCUGCUGCUACUGUGAUAUCUCUCCAAGGUAGGUUUUUGGUGGAUGAAUAAUGGAGAUGGAAAGUAGUUUAUAAUAUGGUUAUAUAUGAUGAAAAGUAUUUGACAUGCCAAGGUUUGUCCUUACAGUACAAGCCAAUGUGGAAUAAUUGCAGUGGUAGAAGCCAAUGUGGAAUAGUUGCAGUGGUAGAACCCUAAGCCAAUGACCUUGACUUACUUUCAAAUACAAAACAAAAACUAACCUUUCUUUCUUUCUUUCCUUCCAACUUCCACAACCACACAUCUUACCACUUAUAAUUAUUAUUGGAAAAAAAAAUACUGCAACUCACAAAUGAGAAAAUUGAGAAAGAGAUUCUAAUAUAUUACUUGUUGUUUCUAGAAGAUGAAGUUGUUUAAUGGAGGAUUUUUUUUAUAAGAAAAGAUAAAUUAAAUGGGGAUAUUUCACACUUUUUCAAUUUGCCAACACCCCAAACACCAAAAAAAACCCUACAAAAUAUUCACACACAAAAAACACUACCUACAUUAAUCCUACUUUCACAUAGUUAGGAACUAAACUCUGUAAAAAACAAAAGUCCAAAUUUCAUAAUACACAUAAAAACAGCUUUACCCAUACAGUCAUUGAUGAUCCUACCUACCUUGUAUUCUAUCUUACCACAUAGUGCUUGAAUUGAUAUGCAUUACCAAACAAAAAGCCUGCAUUUUAGAUAGUUGUUUCUAUGGCUAGUUUCCACACCUAUACCUGACUAGUCAAUUGUCUCCUGUGACCGUUGGCAUGGUCACAGUAAGAACCCUUUCCAAAUACAAAACCAUCUUCAUUCCCUCUUCCUUACAUCCAAUUGUCUACUCUACGGUUUCCAAGUAAUCCAUUUACAUAACAUUUGCUGCAGAUUCUGCAAUCUCUGCAUCUCUUCAUUCCCUCUUCAGGGGCUUUUUCAGUGAAGUCUGCCUAUGCAUGGUUGUCUAACCAAGAUUCUGGCACUAGGGUAGGUAUCUUUAAAAUGUUAUGGCAAACAAUAGCAACGCCAAGAGCCCAAACAACUGCGUGGAGGAUCCUGUUAGAUAGACUCCCCACAAAAAACAAUCUCAUUCGGAGAGGUGUUAUUAUUAGCUCGCCAUUAUGCGUGUUCUGCCAAGCCACGGACGAGUCAACCCAAGACUUGUUCUGCGAGUGCGCACAUACUCAGCGAGUUUGGUCUCUCUGUUAUAAAUGGAUAGGUGUAGUGCUGGCACAACAUAAUGAGCUGAAGUGUCACUUUGAGACUUUUCACCUCAUGCAAUUCACCUCUAAGCAGAAUCAACUCUGGAAAAGCAUGUGGGUGGCAAUAGUUAGGUGUAUAUUGGAUCAAAGAAAUAAUAUCAUUUUUAAGCAGGGAGUUCCAGAUGCAGAAGAAAUUUUUCACUCAGCGCAACUAGUCUCCUGGCUGUGGUUGAAGCAUAAGAUAAAACUCUUUACUUUUGCCCUGUCUGAUUGGAUCCUAAAUCCUAACCAGUGCAUACGAAGCGUGGAUUGAAAGGAAGGGAUGCUGGGAGCCCUCUCGGGUGCUAAGGGGGGAGUACGGUUGGAGGUGGAACAUACUGGUCUGUCAGUUGGCCUAAUAGGACUCCGGUCUGUAGGCAAUGGAGGUAGGAGGAAUGGCGGUUGGAUGUAGUAGCUGUUGGACAACGAAAUCUUGCUUUUGGGCGAUAUGAGCGAGAUUGGCAAUGUCCAGAACUUCAUAGUUGGGGAUUAGGUGGUCUGAUCAGUUGGUUCCGAGGCCCUGGUGGAGCAGUUUUAUUGGGUUUCUUUUUCAGGUUUUGGGUACAGUGAGGCAUUACAGGAGGACUGGAUACCCCCGUGGCUGGUCUGGAUAACUGAAGGUUCGUGAAGCAUGUUUGGUGCCACGAAAAGCUAGGACACAACUGCAGCCUUAUUGUUUUUGCUGCUAAGGAAAUAGGUCAUAGUGGAAUAGGGGUUAGUGUUUUCACGGGAUGGUUAUAUACGCUUCUGUUUCACCUGCGGGGUCAAUAAGGUGUGGCAUGGGUGUGAUUCUUGUUGGAAUGGGGCAGUGGGAUCUAAUUCAGAGAGCCAUAAUGAAAAGCAUGUUAGUCACUGGGUAGUGGAAGGAACGUGUAGCAAUGCUGUCAUGGGUAUAACAGGCCAAUGUCUUUACGUGGCAGUAGUAGAGAUCACACUCUGGUACAAAACUGUGUAAUUUCGCCACUUCCAUGGUGAAAAAAAAAGGGGUUUAACUACUGUUUAGACCUCCUCUGUGCACUUGGCCACAAUAACUAGAAUGUUUGUAUAGUGGUCAUUUUCUGUAUAAGGGUUGAAACAAUCCUGAAGUGUCUCUCUUAAUUUCAUUUUAUUAUUUGCUGAUAAAAAAAAAUCUCUUCCUGCCAGCUCCUCUAUACUCCAAGAUUUUUUUUGAUAUAGUAUGACCAUGCCAGGACCAAUAGAUUCAGAUUUUACUAAAAAGACACUACAAAAGAAAAAUAUUAAAUAAAAAUUAAUUUUAGAGACAAAAAAUAAUUAGUUAUUAUAGUGACUAAAUUAAUAUUAUUUUAAAAAUUAAAAAAAUUAUUAAUUUCUAAAUUAGUUUCUAAUUGAUAAAUAGUUUUUAAUUUAGUAUCUAAUUAGUUACCAAGAUUUUAAUUACUUAUUAUUUAGAUUCUAAAUUUAGUAGCAAAAAAUUAGUAACUAACUAGAUACUAAUUUAAAAACUAUUUAUCAAUAAUAGAAAUAAAUUUAGAGACUAAUAAAUUUUUUUGUCUUUAAAAUAGUAUCUAAUUUAGUCCCUAUAACAAUUAAUUAUUUUUUAUCUCUAAAAUUAGUUUUUAUUUAAUGAUUUUUUUUAGUGAGACAACAACAUUCGCCUUAUGUAAAACAAAAAGAAUAGGAGUAAGAUAACAAAAAAUACAGUGCCUAAGCAUAUUAAAAUAUAAGAUAAGAUGGUUGUGCUUAAAUUUUACAAAAAGAGGAUUAGCCUAGAUCUUAGAAUUAGAAACAAAUAAAAAUAGAAGGGUAAGUUACAAUCGUUUUGAAAGGAUUUUUUUCUUUAUUGGCAAAAAAUAUAAUAAAUAAAUAAAAGGGAUAUUUCAGGUAUCCCAAGAAGUCAUAUAUAUACAAGUAGCAAAGAGACUCUCAUCUCUAUAGAAUUAAUUUUUUUAAACAUUUCUUCUAUACAAAAAUGCUAAUUCUAACCAUUUACAGCAAUUACAUCAGCUGCAAAGCCAGAUAGACCCGAUAGACCCCUGACUUACAAUAAUUUGGCAAUGAAUGCUGAAGAAUUGUUUUAAAGGAUUUUGUUAAUUGGUUACUGAAACAAUAAAAUAUAUUAAUUGUUAUUUUUAUAAGAAAGAAGUUGCUGACAAAUUUGAAUAUUUCAUUAAUCUUUGUUGAUCGAUUCUAUUUAAAAAAAUGGAGUCUGAAAAUUCCCUCAUUUUAUAGUUCCAAUUUCACACUAAUUUAUGUAUCAUAAUAAUGAUAAUUAAUGAUAGUAUUUGUUUUAUUUUUUAUUUUCACGAUACACAUAAUUUGGUACGCUAAGGUGUAUAUUAAAAGUAUAUUAUAUUAAGAAUAUUGCUUCAAAUUAUUAAAUGUAAAUGCUUGAAGAAUGAACAUUAAUACUCGCUAAUUAAAUGUGCAGUAAUAUAAGUCUUCUGCAGGUUAACGCGCGUAAAUAUAUGCCCUAUAUUUAACGACGUACACGUAUAUAACUGAUCACAAUAAACUAAUUAAUUCAAAUUUUACAAACUUUAUAAAUUAUUUCUAUAUUACAAAUUCAUUAAAUAGAAGGAAAAUGACGAAAAGGGGCCUCCUUUAAAAAUAGAAAGAAUAAGGAAAUGUGUGGUGUGAGGUCAUGAGAGAAAUAGGAUAUUAAAAAAAAUUAAAAAGAACAAAACAGACAUUUGACAUUUUAUAUGCAGGUGGAGGGAGAACCAUGGAAGUGCAGGGAGAAUGAGCUCUUUUUUUUUUUCUUUCACUGCAUAUAAUCUCAUCACUGAUUAAAUGGGAUGGGUUAACAUUUUAAUUUGGACAAUUUCUUCAUGUACCCCCAUAAAAAACGCUAAAUAACAACUUUAUUCUUUUCUUCAUUUUUUCAUUAAUAUCUUUCCUUUUUUGGAUUUUGAAAUUUCAAAUUCUAGAAUUUGAAAUACAAAAUUAUAUUCCAAAUUUUAAAAGUUGAAAUAUAUUUUUUUAAUUUGAAAAUACCUUCCGAACUGUAUUAAUGUAUCUUCUGCAUUUCAAAUUCUAAAAUUCAUAAGAUAUUUUAAUUUUAGAAUAUAAUUUUGUAUUUCAAAUUCUAGAAAUUCGAAAGAUCUACAGAUUAUAUAAUUUGAAAAUGAGAAAAAAAUAAUUUCUACCUUUUAUUUAAAGAUUAUUUUGGAAUUGAAAAAUGGUAUGAAGAUGAUUGAAGAAAAUAGGAGGUGAAGAAAGAAAUUUACUUUAAUUUGUUUGAUUAUGGCAUUCUUUAAAUUGACAUGUCACUACAAGAAAAUCAUGAAAUAGAAACCAAUUUUUAGAAACCAAAAUAAUUAGUUGCAAUAGUAACUAAAUUAGAGACCAUUUUAGAAACUAAAUAAUUGGUAUCUAAAACCUUAGUUGCUAAUUAGAUACCAAUUUAGAAACUAUUUAACAAUAAUCGAAAAUAAUAGAAACUAAUUUAGAAACCAAUUUUUUUGUUAGUUUCUAAAACGGUCUCUAUUUUAGUUCCUAUUGUAACUAAUUAUUUUGGACUCUAAAAAUUGAUUUCUAUUUCAUGAUUUUCUUGUAGUGUGUUUGAUCGUUGAUAUGUAAUAUAUUAUAUUAUAUGAAAAAGGUGAUAUGAAAAGGAAUUCUUUACUAUUAUAACCAUAUUAUAAAUUUAUAUAUAAUUAAAAGAAUUUUAUUUACAUGAUUUAUAUAUGUUUUUUUUUCAAAAGAAAUAUCAAUUUAAGCAGAUUUUUUUUCUUUCAUUUGUCUCAUACUCACUCAUGGAAAUUUAAUACUGUGAUUUGAAGUGGACGCACAACAAACUGUUAAUUGAUCAUUUAAAGUUAUUUCUUUCUAUACAUAUGUCUACAAUUAAUUAGACACUGGACGUCUCACCAAUGUAUUCUGAUUUUUAUACAUAUUCUUAUUUACUAUUUCUAUUUAUUUAUUUAUUAUAAUAAUAGAUAAGUUUAUUACCAAAUCAGAACAUAAAGAUAUGGCUUAUUUAAAAGGUUUCAUUCUUAGCAAAACCAACUAGAAAAUAGCAAAUUAUGAGUAUGUAAGUUAAAUAAAUCAGAUAUUAUAUGCAUGUACCUUGUACAAAUCCAUAAAUAUUCUUUCAUAAGAAAAUAAUAAUUAAUAUAUAUUAGAUAAUAAUCUAGGAAUAAGCAUGUGAACAAACUAAUAAAUCGUAUAAUUCAAUUAAUCAUGACUAAAUACACUCAAUUUUAAGGUAAUAAAUUAAGGACAAAUCACAACUUCUAUGUCCUCUAGCUUAAAGAGUUUUGACAUUUUUUUUACCGAACUCUAUUAAUUUGUUUUGGAGUUGUAUAGGAGAAUUCUAAUAGAGUAUAAUAUAAAGUAAACAUAAAAUAUAUCCUAUUAUUAAAUCCUCAUAGAAAGAGAUUUAUAGUUCAUAAUGACUUUAUCAACUUGAAUAAAAUUAAUUUUUUAAAAUAUACUUGUAUUCUACGUGUCUUGCCACUUACUACUACUGAAAUCGGUUUUAAAAUAUACUUGCAUUCACAUUCUCAGCCUGUUCCGCAAGUUCUAAUUCAAUGGGAUUCUUUGGAUGUUUCGAAUAUACCAGUAAAUAGUUUCUGAAGUUUUUGUCAACAACAUUAUAUGGUGUACCUUGUUCUAUUGUCUCUGAUAUGGAUCGAAUCUUUAUUAGCUCAUUUCGGAAGCAUCUUUUCAAAGCUCAGGGUACUACACUUGCUAUGAGUUCUUCUUACCAUCCACAAUUGAAUGGCCAAACAGAUAUUUUGAAUAAAACCUUAGAACUGUAUCUUCACUGCUUUGUUUUUCAAAAUACUAAAGGGUGGUUGGUUUUGAUGUUGCAGGAAAAGUGCACGUAUAACAGGUUUACGUAAGUCUAGGAACCAUACAUCGUGGGUCUUGGAGGUGGAAGAGACUUCCUUGACGCUGAACCUUUGUUAACCAUUCCUGGACUUCUUUGUGGAACUGUAUUCUGCAGUCGGUUACCUUUUGGACUUGAAUUCUGCAGUAGCUGACCUUCAUGUAAGUACUUUUUUGGAUACAUAGUAAAGCGCUUAUGUACAAGCUAGUAUCAAGAACCAGUUUGGCAGUAGAUGCUUUUGAAAAGCUUUUUGGAAUGUAAUACAGUGUAUGUUUGGACAUGGCAGCAACUUUUUUGGGUCAGAGUCAUUUAGCCUCUCCUCUUUUGUGCAUAUGGAUUGGAGUAUCUCUUAAAUACUUCUUUCAUUCUAAUUUAUUCUUUGCUGAUAAAAGAAAAUGAGAUACAAGAGUUUUUUCCAUAAUUCAACUUGAGGACAAGGUUCCUUGUAACGUGUAAGAAAAAUGAGAGCAUAAAAAAUGCAAAGCUAGAGGUAACUGGGAAAAGUAGUUGCCCCAAAAAGAUCACAUGCCACGCAAUCAACAAGAGACAACAGAAAAGCAUGAGAGGUAACAGAGAGAAUGGAUUUUUAAAGGACUAUGUGCUCUAAGAGGGAUUAUUGUGUGGUGUGAUUCUUCUAUUUUCUCCUCUGUUCCUCUCUCUCCCUAUGGUUUCCAUUUCUUCUCUAUUUGAAAUAUUUGUUGUUACUGAAUGAGGUACUAUGAUCCAGGCUUAAUCAACUUGAUCGUGGAUGUUGUGAAUUUUUCUCUUCUUUAAUGCACUGAGACAUUAAUCCUUCAUGAUCAUAUCAUAUUUGUAAACAACCACGUUAUACAAUCAUACCAAUUUUAUACAAUAUAUAUAAACGAAGUGAAGGGCAUCUAGGUGGGGACCAUUGGUGUGAGGAGCCAAGCACUAAGCAAAGAAGCUUUUCAAAGCUAGAUUCAAAGCAACGAAAGAUUUAGGGGUAAGACUGGAUGAAGUUGAAUUCAAGUCGCUAUCUCCGACUGAUAACGAGGGUCUCCUAUCAUCUUUCUCUGAGAAAGAGAUUAGGGAUGCAGUGUGGCAGUGUGAAGGUACAAAAAGUUCGGGCCCAGAUGGUUAUAACUUCAACUUCAUCAAAAAGAAUUGGGAGUUGCUAAAAGAAGAUUUUGUGGCAGCGUUGUCCCUGUUUCAUGAGACGGGAUGUAUCCCUAAGGGCUGUAACGCCUCUUUCAUAGCUUUGGUUCCUAAAGUUAGGGACCCGUCCAAGCUCGAGCAAUAUAGACCCAUCUCAUUAGUUGGAGCUAUGUACAAGAUUAUUUCGAAGGUUUUAGCUAGUAGAAUGAAGAAGGUGUUGCCCUCUUUGAUAGAUGAAUGACAAUCAGCCUUUGUGAAAGGAAGAGGGAUCUUAGACAGUGUUCUUAUGGCCAAUGAAGUUGUUGAGGAUUUAAUGAGAAGUGGGAGAAGAGGGUUGUGCUUAAAAGUGGACUUCGAAAAAGCAUAUGACUCGGUUAGAUGGGCGUUCUUAUAUGAUAUGCUAUCCAGGAUGGGGUUUCACAACCUCUGGAUCGCAUGGAUUAAAGGAUGUCUGGAAUCCGCCACUGUGUCUGUGUUAGUCAAUGGGAGCCCUACGGAGGAAUUCAAGCCGACUAGAGGGUUAAGGCAAGGAGACCCACUUGCACCCUUCCUUUUCCUAGUUGUAGCUGAAGGCCUUGCUGGGAUAGUUAGAAGUGCUAACAAAACCACUUUACUGACGGGCCUCAAGUUUGGAAGGAAGGAGAUUGAGGUGUGCAUCCUCCAGUUUGCGGAUGACACUAUUUUUCUAUGUGAAGACUCCUUCAACAACGUGGUAACCUUGAAGGCCAUUCUAAGGGGGUUUGAAUUAGCCUCAGGGUUGAAGAUCAACUUCCAUAAGUCAAAGCUUGCAGGCAUCAAUGUUCAAAGUAGUGAUGUAGCAUGUUAUACAAAGACGUUGAACUGCAAACAAAUGGGAGUAUUGUUUAAAUAUCUGGGCCUUGAAGUAGGAGGUAACCCCAGGAAGAAGCAGUUCUGGGAUCCGGUCGUUAACAAGUUAAAAGUGAAGCUCAGUGUGUAGAAAGAGAGAUUUUUAUCCAUGGCAGAGAGAAUUUGUCUUAUCAACUCUGUCAUAUCUGCUAUACCUCUGUAUUAUCUCUCCCUUUUCAAAGCCCCUGACUCAGUCUGUAAGAGGAUUACCUCUAUCCAAAGGAGAUUCUUGUGGGGUUGGGGGAAAGAAAGCAAGCCAAUUUGUUGGGUUAGUUGGGAAGAUGUGUGCAAACCUAAAGAGGAUGGAGGAUUGGGUUUAAGAGAAAUACGAAAGUUAAACGCUGUAUCUCUCAAGAGGAGGGAAGGUGGAAGGAGUUAUUGGACUCAAAGUAUGGGUUGGAGCCUGGAAGCGUCCAUUCACUAGCCAAACUCCAAUCUUGGUGGUGGAAAGAUCUCUAUAAAGUGUGCAAGGAGGGAGGAGGAAAAGGAUGGUUUCAAGAAGAACUAAGCUGGAAACUAGGGUGUGGAGACAAAGUAAAGUUCUGGGAGGAGGUGUGGGUUGGGAGCUCUGAUCUCAAAUCCUUGUUUCCUAGACUGUUCUCCCUAUCCUUAAACUAGGGGCAAACAGUGGGUGAAGUUGGCGUGUGUAUUAAUUCGGAUUGGAGAUGGAGGCUGACAUGGAGGCGUGCCAGAUUUGAGUGGGAAUCAUCACUGGAAGCAGACCUCUUUACACUGCUAUCAGGGGCACAAAUGAGAAGGAAUGAUGUGGAUGUGCAGGUGUGGGGGAAAGAAGAACCAAGCCUUUUUUUCUGUGAAUUCUUCUUAUGAGUGCCUUGCCAAGCAGUCUCGUGGAACCCAAUCCGAUGUGUUUAAUUUUCUUUGGAAGACUAAGGCAUUCCCAAAUGUGAUCGUGACAGCUUGGAGAGUGCUGCUGGAUAGAAUCCCAACAAGGGUGAGUUUGAGUAGGAGAGGGGUGAUGAUGGAAUCUACGUUAUGUGCAAUGUGUCAGCUUAAGGAGGAGUCUUGUCAACAUAUCUUCUUGGAGUGUAAAUACGCACAAUGGGUAUGGUCUUUGUGCUUCAAAUGGAUAGGUAUCUCUUCUGUUCAACAGAAUGAUUUAAAUCUGCACUUUAUGAGUUUUUAUGGAAGCAAAACCUAGUAUGGAAAGGUGUUUGGGCAUAUGUUAUUAGGUGUAUCUGGAACCAAAGGAACUUGAUUGUAUUCAAAAAAGGGCUAGUAGUUGCGGAGGAGCUGUUUCAGAAGGCUCAACUCAAAUCCUGGCUUUGGAUGAAGCACAAGGUGCAUUCCUUUACUUAUUCUUUCGUAGACUGGAUUCUUAAUCCAAUGCUUUGCAUUAGAAGUUAUAAUUAGGACUCCCAAAUGCCAAGAGUUUUAAGACUACGGCCUAUACUGAAUUUAUAGUUGGUUGGAAGGGUUGGUGGGUCUGUCACGGCUUGCAGCUGGUGCAAGAUGAAAAGGUCAUAUGUGCUUGUAUGCAAGGGAGUCAAAAGGAAUGUUAAGGACAUGAUGGAGGAUUCUGUUUUGAUGUGUCUUAUAACAGACCAAUAGAGGUAGGGUGUAUGCUGGUUCAGGGUUCUUUUUGCAGGAAACAAAAACUGUAUUUUUAUGUGGUGUUUUGGUUGUUGUGGAAAUCCCUAAGUGUGUUUGCUGAUCAACUAGUGGUCUCACAUGUGGGUGGUAGCAGUAGAGGUUGUGGUGGGGAUUUAGACAUGUUGGGGGAUGUAAGUCGAAGUUGUAAACCCCAACCAAUCUAAGUGCGAGAUGGACCCUGGCAAGUAGGAAGUUGGUUUCUGAAAAAAGUGAGCUUAAAAGGAGCAAACAGGGGGAAGCCAAAGUCCAAAAAGGAACGAAUGGAAGUUGCUGCAUUGAAGUGAUUAAUUCUGUGACAAGUGCUACAAUCGUGCCACUGCAAGCUGGGAAGAAGGAAUGUCAAUGAGGUGGUGGAGAUAACCAAUAUUUUGGUGUAUUUUGAUUGUUUUGUAGCUGCAGUGCAGUUCUUAUACGAGCACGGUGCUAGCUGGAAUAGGAUGUCUAGCUUAUGCAGCAAACAUUAUCUAUCUAUUGCUUCUGGGGUGUUUGUUCAUCUCUUUAUUCUUGGAGAUUCUUAAUGUGAUUUGGUUUAUGUAAAAGGGUUGGGAUACCCCUUUUGUAUCCCUCUUAAUUUAAUUUCAUUCUUUACUGAUAAAAAAAAAAGUAUUCUUCACAAUAUCAAAGCAUUUAAGGAAAAAGAAAUAUAAUAAUAACACUGGUUUUUCUCAAAUCAUCCAUGUGGCCCUCAACAACAUAGAUUCAAACAAGUGAGUGAAUGAGGCAUUUAUACAAAUAUCUCUGCACAAAGGUAGGAAGAGAGUAAAAGUUGUUGUGUGCGUUGCUUAUUCAUUUCAUUCACUCUUUUUUUUCAUCAUCGAACACACUUUAUCAAGUUAUUUUACCUAGCGAGAGGUAUGAGUUGGGCGCUGAAAUCCAGAUUGACCGGUUCAAUUGACUCUGCACUACUGUUAGGUUUUGUUCGAGCUAAUUCAGUUGCUAAGGUCUCCUUUAGUUCAAACACUAUCACACUCAUAAUUGGUCUUUGGUUGGGACGUAGAGAAACACAAGCCAUUGCUAUUUCCACGGCUUUCCAGGCUGAGUUAAUGUCAAAAUCUCCUUCUAACCUUGAGUCAACAAUGGCCUUGAUAUCCCCUAUUGCAACCAGGGAUCUAACCCAUUCAAUUAUGUGACACCUUUCUUCGUUCCUUGCUAUUACUUGCUGGCCUGUGAUUAUUUCCAGAAGAACCACUCCAAAGCUAUAAACAUCACUUUUCUCUGUUAAUCUAUUGUUUGUGUAAUAGCUGCAAUGAAUGCAAGACAUAUCAUGAAACUCAAUAUAUUUUCUGCCAGUGUAUGUGGUGAUAUCUCAAAAUCUCAGAAAUUAAUGGAUGGACAGUAAUUCAAGUUCUU